rnacentral:rRNA from 1 species
CCGCACAAGCGGUGGAGUAUGUGGUUAAUUCGAUGCAACGCGAAGAACCUUACCUGGUCUUGACAUCCCGGAGACCCUUAGGAAACUAGGGGUGCUUCCAUCUGGAAGAAUCUGGAGACAGGUGCUGCAUGGCUGUCGUCAGCUCGUGUCGUGAGAUGUUGGGUUAAGUCCCGCAACGAGCGCAACCCUUGCCUUUAGUUGCCAGCAGUUCGGCUGGGCACUCUAAAGGGACUGCCGGUGUUAAACCGGAGGAAGGUGGGGAUGACGUCAAGUCCUCAUGGCCUUUAUGACCAGGGCUACACACGUACUACAAUGGCCGAUACAAAGGGCAGCGACACUGCGAGGUGAAGCCAAUCCCGUAAAAUCGGUCUCAGUCCGGAUUGGAGUCUGCAACUCGACUCCAUGAAGUUGGAAUCGCUAGUAAUCGUGGAUCAGCAUGCCACGGUGAAUACGUUCCCGGGCCUU